AGCCGGGUCAGAACAGCUGCCGGGGCAGCGACAGCGAGAGCGCGAGCGGGGAGUCCAAGGGUUUCCAUCAGAGCAGCUCCCGGGAAAGACUCAGUGACAGCUCAGCUCCUUCCAGCUUGGGAACAGGCUACUUUGUUCAUGCUUCCAGUGAUGCUGCAGUCCAGGAACCUGCAGAAACAGGGGGCAGUGAUUUCCUAAUUUGUCUGCAGUUUUUACUUUUGGACAGGCCCUGGAAGAGCUGCCUCGUCUGCCCCUCCCUUUCUUGGCCCUAUUGGCCCUAUUGUUGAAUUGCAAGACCUGACAGCACAAGGGUUUCCAGCCCCUUCCCCUGGGGAGUGAGACAAGUUCCCUUAGGCUGCAGUGAAGCUGAUUAACACUGACCUCUCUCAUUUCCCCCUGGAACAGUGGAAGCAGUUGCAUCAAAUUGGUCACUGCACUUCAGCUACAGGAGUGAGUAACUCCUUCCCCUGCUUGAAUUACACCCCAGGACACCUCUAGCUGGGGGAAGGCUGAUGUCCUCAGCACUGGUGUCUGCACAGAGGUUUCACUGUUCAGUUAACACACUUUACAAGUUUAUUCAGAUUAACUUCCACAUUUGUAAGUGUGAAAAGCAAGCCCUUAAUGACAUCUGGCUGUGUAAUUCAGGGACUAUUUUCUGAAAGCCAGUGCUUAGGUAAUUGAUAUUGUUGCACUUUCACUCAUCAGUAAGCAUUCAGCUACAAGGACCAAGCUAGAAUACACCUCUCUGUCCUUUCUAAAAUAGAAGAGAAUUUUACACCUUUUUGACUGCCGUUCAGCUGUGUGUUAUAGCCUUCUGGUGAUGCCAUCUAGAACUAAUUUUAAUCUUACCAAGCCUGCCAGAAGAUGAGUAUUUUUGACAUAGGAGUUCCAAGGAACCUAAAGGAAUUAAGUUCUUUUUAAAGACCUGUUUUCUUCUUAUGUACACCUGUCUACUUUGAGAAUGUUUUUAUUUUAAGUGCCUCAAUUAGUUUAUCAAAUGCAGGCCAGUUGCUCUUACUUUGUAGAAGUAUCACAGUCUAUUAAAAGCUUUAUAACUUUAGGUGAGAGAGCUGUUACAGUGAAGGAAUAUUAAGAGCUGUCACAGCCAGGUAGCCAGGCCUAAGUGUCAGGCUGUAGUGGAGGGUGACAGAGUAGGUGCAGGAACUUAAGAGAAGCAUAAAACAAAACUGCCAUCAAACUUACUCCAGUAGUUUUUCACUAUUUACCUUCGUGUUUAUUAUUUCAUAUGACUUCACCCUGCCAUUCCUUCGAGAAUAUUAUUAAAUAUAAUGAAUUCAGUUAGUUACAGGCCCCAUAUCCAGGCUUAGCCUUAGAAGCUCCAGCUUCCCUUUGAUCUUCAACAUACCAAAAUGUGUGAUUAUGCUAUAAAAAGAUAAUAGAGGGAACAUCAAAGGAAAGUUGAAAAAUGCCAAUGUGGCUUAGUAACAUAACAGCUUAAGAAUAGCAGCAUAACAUGGAGACAACCCUAGUUAUGUCUUAAUGCAUUUUAAUAUGUGCUCUGCAAAAACACUGCAACACUGGUGUCUGCAAAGUAGGAAAGCUCUCCCUUCCCCAGGAAAUCUUUUCAAAUAGAGGAUAUAUUUGCAAGUUACAUAUUACAGUCAUGGUAAGUUGGGUGGAAGAAAUUCUGUUCAUGUAGGUGAUCACUCCAGAGACUUUGCUGCUUCAUCCUUGAGCUCCUGUCAUUCUACCUACGGAGUUAGUCAGGGCUUUAACCUUUGAAGACAACAAUAACUGUCUCCCAUGAGAACAUCAAAGCCAGUGUUGGCCAAAGAGGUGAUUUAGGUGUACUUACUGUACCUCAAGCUAAAUGUCAAAUGUGAUUAAACCUCAUUAUCCUGUCAUGCUUUAGGUAACAAAGUACAGGAACUUAAGAGUGACUGCAAGCCCUGGUUUGAGGGGUUUUCAAUCUGUGUGUUGUGCUGUCACACUUGGACAGCACAACCCCUUUUCCCCAGGCAAAUGGGCCAUAUCUGGGGGAGGUGGGAUGCAGCAGAGGGUUGUGUUGGGUUCGCUCCAGAAGAAGCUUCCUACAAAAGAAAACCAAAAAACACAAAAAACCCAAACCGUGUGCACCCCUCAGCACAUCCACAACACUCUUGCUGCUUACAGUAGUAUCCAUCUUUCAUCCAAGGGUUUUACCUGCACUGUACAGGUUAUUCAGAGAAACCCAAUGGUGGAUGGCCCUUGGCAUUAGCCCCACGUUAAAACUGCAAAAUCUGAAAGACAAAAAGCUAAAAGUGAUGUUACCAGGGCCUGGCAGGAAGAGAGAAGCACUAACCACUUCUAAAGGGCCACUGAGAGUUCCAAGGAUUUGUUUGUUCCAAAAUCCUUGUUGAUCACACAGUUGUUUACGUGUGGAGCCUUGAGCAUCCCCAGUGUAUCCCAUGUGUCUUGCAGAGACUUUCUGAUGGGAUUAGUGAUACAGAGCAUCUCAGUUUUAAGGAAAAGGCCCCAAAUACCAAAUUUAAGCCUGAGGGUUUCUGGUUUGUGACAAAGGCUGAGCGUCUAAAAAUUAGGAUUGUUGGCAGCUUUUGAAAAUGCCAAUAUUUACUUAUGUGGCUACACCUAGAAAUUAAAGAAUUCUGCAGGUUUUGCCAGGCUGAGGUAACUGAAAGAUUCAACUUCCAGUGAAGUGUUUCCUGUCAUUAUGGCUGGUGUUCAGAAAUUCGGUGUGUGGAGCUGACAUGUUUAACUCCUGCGAUGGUAUUAAGCAAAUAUUUUUUCAAGUUGGGCACAAUGAUGCCAGGUUUAUGUGUGCAGAAGGUAAAACCUUAAUAACCAAGGUCUUUCACCUUGGGCACAGGGUAUUUUUUUGGAGUAAAGCUCUGUUGACUUUAAACUGAAAGAGAGUAGGUUUAGGUGAGAUAUUCGGAACAAUUUCU